UGCAAGUCGAACGGUAACAGGGAAAAGCUUGCUUUUCCGCUGACGAGUGGCGCACGGGUGCGUAACGCGUAUACAAUCUGCCUUUAAGCGGGGAAUAGCCCAUGGAAACGUGGAUUAAUACCCCAUAGUAUGUAGACUUCACCUGGAGACUACAUUAAACAUUUAUGGCUUAAAGAUGAGUAUGCGUCCUAUUAGUUAGUUGGUAAGGUAACGGCUUACCAAGACCGCGAUAGGUAGGGGUCCUGAGAGGGAGAUCCCCCACACUGGUACUGAGACACGGACCAGACUCCUACGGGAGGCAGCAGUGAGGAAUAUUGGACAAUGGAGGCAACUCUGAUCCAGCCAUGCCGCGUGCAGGAAGACGGCCCUAUGGGUUGUAAACUGCUUUUAUACGGGAAGAACCACAUCUACGUGUAGAUGCUUGACGGUACCGUAUGAAUAAGGACCGGCUAACUCCGUGCCAGCAGCCGCGGUAAUACGGAGGGUCCAAGCGUUAUCCGGAAUCAUUGGGUUUAAAGGGUCCGUAGGCGGAAUAAUAAGUCAGUGGUGAAAGUCUGCAGCUUAACUGUAGAAUUGCCAUUGAUACUGUUGUUCUUGAAUUAGUAUGAAGUGGUUGGAAUGAGUAGUGUAGCGGUGAAAUGCAUAGAUAUUACUCAGAACACCUAUUGCGAAGGCAGAUCACUAAUACUAUAUUGACGCUGAGGGACGAAAGCGUAGGUAGCGAACAGGAUUAGAUACCCUGGUAGUCUACGCCGUAAACGAUGGUUACUAGCUGUCCGGCCUAAUUGAGGGCUGGGUGGUUAAGCGAAAGUGAUAA
rnacentral:rRNA from 1 species